rnacentral:lncRNA from 1 species
UAGAAAAAUAAGUGGAAUAAAGAGAUAGUUUUCUGUGUUUUUUCACAAGACCGUGACAGUCCUUUUUAAUUGCAAAACAAUGUAAAACCGUUUUUCUUUUUCUGUCAACAACUCCUUAAUAUUAGCAACACAAUUUUAAAAAAAUUGACAGUUAGAAAGUUGCUAAUAAAAGGACAGAUCUGUUAAAAGAAAAACAAUCAGAAUUGAUUAAAAUCAAUUAAGGAAAUUGGUCAAUAAAAGAAAAGGAAUAUUUUUACCGAUGUGAGACAUCACAAUGCAACAAUGAAAGACUUCAGUUUGCCAUUGUCCAACAAUUUAUAUUCAUAUAUUAAUAAGAAAACCUUUAUUUAUGUGAUUUACACCAGACUUAUAUUUUUAAUCAUAUAUUAAUAAAAUUAUUUAUGUUCUUUUAUUAUAAUUUUACGGGUUAUAUACUAGAUCAUAUAUUAAUAUAGGGACCUAAUUAUUUUGUUGAUUUUUACGAGACCUAUGUUUUUUUUAUUAAUAUAUUAAUAAGGUUGCCCAUUCUUUCAUAAUUUCUACAUGACAUAUAGUUAUACUCAUAUAUUAAUACAAGUUAAUCUUUCAUAAUAUUUAAUCAUAUAUAAAUAAAGUUUUUUAUUUUUUUAAUAAUUUUUUUGGUUAUACUAGAUCAUAUAUUAAUACAGAGACCUAAUUAUUUUGUUAAUUUUUUACGUGACCUAUGUUUUUUAUAACAUAUGUGGGACCUAUAUUUAUACUCAUAUAUUAAUAUGGAUACCUAUUUUUUGAGUUGUCUAUUUUUAUUUUAUUUUUUUACAAGACCUAUCUUUUUACAAGACCUAUUUUAUUUAUUCCGUAUUACUAAUUUCAGUUUUAAUAAAAUUCACGUUGUCAAUUCGAAUUUCGUCGAGCAAGUGGAAGAGAAAAGUAAAGCCAAUAUUCACUAAUUUCUCUUUCAUAAUUUCUACAUGACAUAUAUUUAUACUCAUAUAUAUUAAUACAAGGAUCUAAUCUUUUGUGUGAUUUUUGCUGGGCUAUAUGUUUUUACUCUUAUUAAUAAAUUUUUCAGUUUUUUAUUAUUUUUUGUGGGACCUAUAUUUAUACUCAUAUGUUAAUACAAUGACCUAAUGUUUUGUGUAAUUUAUGUGGGACAUGUUUUUUACUCAUAUUAAUAAGCUUGCACGUUCUUUUAUAAUAUAUGCGGAACCUAUAUUUAUACUCAUAUAUUAACAUGAAAACCUAUUUUUUUAUUUUGUCUAUUUUUUUUUAUAAAUUUGCGGGUUAUACUCAUAUUUAAUAUUUAAUACGGUGACCUAAUUAUUUUGAUGAUUUUUGUGAGACCUGUAUUUUCACUAACAUAUUAAUAAGGUUGUGUAUUUCCUAAUAAUUUUUCCGGGAUUAUAUUUAUACUCAUGUAUUGAAUACAAGGACAUAAGUUUUUGAUGAUUACAAUACCUAUGUUUUUACUAAUAUAUUAAUAAGGUAGCCUAUGGUUUUACUAUUUCAUGUUAUCAAAUAAGGAGCGGCAACGCCGCGACUCCCGUGCGGACGCAUAGGUGUCCGGCUAGUAUAUGUAUGAAUUGAACGAAAACCACGCAACAAACAACCCGAGAGGGAUGGAGUCAAACACGGCAUGCACAAGACACGUUGCAAAAAAUUGUCAAUAUCAGACGGCGGUUAACGGAACACUAACUAAAAAAAAGAAAAAAAAACUCGGAAGACAAGUAGCCACCAUUUCCAACAAAAAAACUUAAGGCUCAGAUAAAAAACUUAGAACCUCAACGACAUCUCAAAAUUUUAUAAGAACAAAAAUCUGUAUUUCACAACCCUCGUCUCGUCGUCACUAUUAAUUUUUUUUUUGUUCUGGGUCCCUUACUUUGUUGAAUUUUUCAUUCAUAUACUAGUAUUUUACUUUAAUUAAAUUAAAUAUUAAUAAAAUAUGGGUCCUUAAUGGCAGUAAUUAUUGCAACGAGGCCCAUAAUAAAAGGACCUUGGGCUUCCAUAGAACUGGCCCAUAUUGCAACAAGCUUUCGCCGAUCCACCAUUCUUGACGCCGAACGAAUAACCGAACGGCGCACGCGGCGAGCGACUAUGUCGUCCGAUGCGAUAUGCCACCGCGUACGGCAGCGAUUCAGCGGAGGUAUGAGGCGAUCUUGACGGAGAAAGAGUGGCACUGGACGAAGCAGACGACGGAUCAGAAGAAAGCAAUUUCGGCUGCGAAAGAAUGGCUCUGAUCUUCAACGGAUGAGUUAAUCUCAACGAGACACGUUCGUAUUCAUCGAUUAUAUUGGCUAAAUCUUCGUCGUUGGUGAUUGAGAUCAACAUUUCCAAGUCUCCGUUUGGUAAUUGAAACCUUAACUUGACAGAUGAACCACACAAUUCUUCGAGUUUCUCCAUCAAUUCUGCAAUACAUCACCGAUAAUAAUCGAUAAAUACGAAGAACGAAACAGCUGAAUAGUGAAAUUUUAGAAGAAAAGAAAAUUCGGGUAAGCGAACCUGAGAAUGAAAUUGAACGAUCAACGGAGAGAACUCUAGUGUGACCGCCGACGUAACGGAGUUCACCGUCAGUGGAACGAGGAAGGAUUUUGCCACCGUAGCUAUAGAGGAUCUUAAUAGCGUUCAAGGGUUUAGAUUCCAUGACUCGUUUUGGUGACUCAGUGAAAAGAAUAUUGGAAGAUUCUUCAGCGUUGGAAGGAAGGUUAUGCAACUUAUGUUGGGGCUUGAAAACUCCGGGCUGUGAUUUUCGGUGUAUUUAUAAGCGGAAUUCGGAGCCUAAGUUCUAAUUAGAGAUGGGUAUGCGGGCCAGCUCGCCCCGUUUAACCCGUCACACAUAAACUCGCAUAUUAAAUGAGAGUUAUAAUAUUAAACUCGAGUCCGGUCUGCAUAAGCUCGCGGGUUAACGGUUAACUCGUGGACUAUUACAAAAAUAAAAAAUAAAAAAAACCACUUUUUUCAAAAAAUAAAUUAAAUUAGUAAAAUAUUGAUAUAAUGAAAGCUUAAAAAAAAUAUAUUAUUAAUAAUUUUAUGUUAUAACAUAUAAAUUGUAACUAAGAAAUAAAAAUAAAUAAAGUUUGUGAUAUUAUUGAGUUUAUCUAUCUUCUCUUUGUAAGUAAUGCAACCAAAAUCAAAUUUAACUGAUUCUUAUCGUCAUUUUUGUACCGUCCGUGAGAAAAACUUUUUACAUGUACCCAAAAAAGCAUAAAAAGAUUAAGAGAUUCAACUUAACUAAAUCACAUCAAGGUAACCAAAUUAUUCAAAACAUAAUAGCGGAAAAUACCCCUAAGAAAAAUAACUACCAAUUUGGACAUGUAUGAUGUAUCUUUUAAAUACUAACAAAUGUAUAUACAGCUAAGACAAAGUAAGAGAUAGUAAAAAAGAUCAAAAGAUUAUAAGCAGAAGAACAUGCCUGAAUCCUGAUGUUUUGUGUUGUUGUCUACUUGAUUAAAAUUGGAGUGUGUUGUUGCUUUUUAUAAUUAGGGUUUAGACUAAGUCUUUUUUUCUUGUGGUUAAAAAAAGUUGAAUUUGGACAUGGACCAAGUUAUUUAUAUUUGAUAAAUUUUGUAAUUAAUUAUAUAAAAAAAAGAAGGCGGACCACAGGCUAACCCGCGAACCCGCAGAUUUAAACCGCAUAACCCGCGGUUUUAACGGUGCAACUCACACGUGCAAAAAUGUAAACGGGCCAAAAAAAUUUGGUCUUAAGUCCGUGCGGGCUGCGAGUUAAAUGGUUGGCCCGCAGACCUUGGUCCGUAUACCUGACUCUAGUUCUAAUUAAUGAUUUAAUAUUAAUUAAUUAUUUAAUUGGUUAAAAAAAAAAAAGGAAAGAAUGAAAACACAACGUGGAUACCGACUUGGAGUGUUUGUUAAGUGUUUUCUAAACAGCCACUGUCCACUCGACAUUUGGAUUAUAUCCCUAUAUAUUCGCAUAUUCUUUUCUUUUUCGUUUCCGAGAAAGGAAGCCCAAUUUUGGUCAAAUAAUGAGAGCUACUCUCUCCAUUCUAUUUUACAAUACAUUAUAAUACAUUAUUUGAGUAAAUGCAUUAUUCAUAUUUAAAAAUAUAUAAAUGUAAAUAUUACUAUAAAAUUUUGUUUGAUUUGUUUCGACGAAUAUUUUUAAAAUAUCAAAUUUCUAUAACUUUUACAAAUGAACAAUUAAAAAUAUUCGUAAUUAAAGUUAUGCAUUGAUGUACGUGUAGUGGUCAACUGGUUCUUAUAUUUUGAGACGGAGGAAGUAAUAAAUUUUUAGUAUUAGUACUACUAUAUAGAAUAUAGUCCCUCUAAUUCUUAGUAGAAAGUAGAAACAUUGUAAAAAAAAAAUCGAUCAUGCAUGCUUCGUUUGGUUAAACGUCGAAUAUUUGUUUUGACAAAGCAAUAAAAAGCAAUAAGCAAAUUAUAUAGUCUCAUUAAUCUUUACUCGUGUCUAUCUUUCCAUAAAUAGAGAACAAAUGAAAGAAUCAUAAAUGGAGGGAAUUUAAACUCAGCACACAUGAUAUCAGCAUGAUAAACUAUAUAUUAUAUUAAAUGACAAAAUUAUCCAAAACAAAUAUAUAGUUUUUUGAAAAAUAAAAUAAAUUCUUCAUAUUUUUAUUUAACAUUAAAAAGCAAUAUUAUAAGUAAUGCAAUAAUUUUAUAUAAUUCUAAAAAAUAAUUAUCGACAAAAAUAUGAAAAUAAAAACAACAUAAACAAUUGAAUAGAAAACCACGAACCGGAACCAACAAAAGAAUAGAAACAACAAACCAUGUUGUACAAAAAAAAAAGGGUUUCAUUGUUUCCGCCACCGCUGGCUUCAUCUUCGUAGCACAUUUGAUUCAUAGAAGUCACUGCAAGCUCUUUCAAUUAUUGCAUUACUGGUGUUAGAAAUUAGGAACAAAACAGAGCAUCGAAUUAGCUGUUUUCACUUAUUGUAGUAUUAGGGCAUGACAACAAUCAAGAAAGAUAUUAGGGAUAGAAGCAUCGAUCAAAUAUUAUGAAAAUUGAAAGCAAGAGGCACAAUACUUAGGAGCAGAAAACAGACACACAAAAAAUUGUUCUCCAAUGGUCAGCACCGGACCAGUGCGGCCGAUGCGGCGGAGCUCCGAUCAGUGCGGCAGUGGCUGGUGGUUUUUCGGUGACGGCGGCCUCCGGUGGCCGGCCGCCACCCACCCUUUGCUAUUUAAUUUAAUAAAUAAUAAGUAUCAAACGGGCCUUAAAUGAGUAUAAGAAUUGCUUAUUCUGUAACAUAUACAAACUUUCAUCUGGACACGUAAUUGGUUAUAUGAUUUUUAUUUUUUUUAAUAUUCAUGAGGGCUUAAAACCCAUUGGUUAUAUGAUUUUAAGGAAACCGGACCUUUUACUAAGUUUACUUUGUUAUGUAUUUAUGAUUUUAAGGAAACCAGACAUUUUAGUAAAUUUACUUUGUUAUGUAUUUUGAAUUGUUAGGUUAGAAAUUUAGUUUGUGAUGUAAGCUUGAACUUUAUUAGCUAUGAAUCUAUGAUGGUGCACUUUGUGAUUCAUCAUCCACUCAUCUCUCUACUUUUACGGGGAUCUUCUGUAAUAUUUAUUCACUCAUGAAAUCAUGACACCCACUUUUUUUAUUGAUAAUAAUUUGUGCGAUAUGUAUGUAAUUUUAUUGUCUAUUAAAUAUCAUUUCUAAAAUAAAAAAUAUGAAAAUUAGUCGGGUAAGCCCAUCGGGCCAUGUAGCCAUUUGCUUAUCGGGCCGAGCCUAGGUUAGUAGUCCAUGAAGCUUAACGGGUCGACCCACUUUUUUUAUUGAUAAUAAUUUGUGCGAUAUGUAUGUAAUUUUAUUGUCUAUUAAAUAUCAUUUCUAAAAUAAAAAAUAUGAAAUUAGUCGGGUAAGCCCAUCGGGCCAUGUAGCCAUUUGCUUAUCGGGCCGAGCCUAGGUUAGUAGUCCAUGAAGCUUAACGGGUCGACCCACUUAAGUCCCUUUAUAUGUCCAAGCCCUCGGGCUGAGGCGGGCCGACCACCUUGACAACUCUAGUGAUGAUUACGUUAAAUUGGUUUUUUUUUUGUUUGUGAGGACAGAGCAUUAGAAAUUUGGUAGAAAAAAAUAGAUAAUUGAAAAUUAAUUCAUUAAAUACACAAUUGCACGAUAUUUUAAGUGAAAUGAUCACAACCAUUAAAUUUUUUUAAAAAAUGAACAAAUUAAAUUUAAUGUUAAAAUAAAGCUUGACGUUUGAUGUAAACGAAUCUAACUCUAAAACUACAGUAAUACCUAACAAACUUUGGAGAGGUUAAAAAAAAAAGGCUUAAAUGCAGUUUUACCCCUCAUGUUUUGAAAAAUGCGGAAUUUUACCCCUCCUAUUUUAAAAUGCGGAAUUUUACCCCCCCUAUUUUAUAAUUUGUUGGAUUUUGCCCCCCACCAAAAUUCUGCACAAAAUCUGCUUCUGAGCCUCAAGUUCAAAGUUUUGCACAUAACUCAAUUUGGAUCAAUAAUUCACAAAACUGAUACCGCAACGACCGUAAUCGAGUUAGCUUUCCACAGAAUCAAACUCCGCUAAAUUUUGAGUUACAGAGAGAGAUUAAGUACCGUUUUAGUGAAGGUCUGUCCAAUUACUAAUUCUGCAGAAAUCUACUUGUGAUCUUCAAAUUCAACAUCGUCUACCGAACGCAUCGUAACUCCAAAUUCUACGAAAUUGAAAUGCCAACAAGGGUAAUUUCGUUAGCUUUCCAUACAUGUAAAUAUUAUUAAAAAAUGAGCUAUAGGGUGAGAGGCAUGACGAAAAUACCAGUAGUAGAUUCAUACGAUAAUUAAUUUGAACAGACCUUCACUAAAACGGUAAUUAAUCUCUCUCUGUAACUCCAAAUUUAGUGGAGUUUGAUUCUGUAGAAAACUAACUCGAUUGCGGUCGUUUCGGUACCUGUUUGGUGAAUUAUUGAUCCAAAUUGAGUUCUGCGCGAAGCUUUGAACUUGAGGCUCAGAAGCAGAUUUUGUGCAAAAUUUUGGUGGGGGGCAAAAUCCAACAAAUUAUAAAAUAGUGGGGGUAAAAUUCCGCAUUUUAAAAUAGGGGGGUAAAAUUCCGCAUUUUUCAAAACAGGAGGGGUAAAACGGCAUUUAAGCCAAAAAAAAAUUACAAACCAAAAUUUAACUUUUCCUCCUCUGUGUUUCUUUCCUUCCUCUUUCUUCUCAACCAAACAAUGCGUUACUGCUUUUGGUAUUGAGCACAAGAACUUGCUUAAGACGAUUCCAAUAAAGAGGAAAAGCGCAAUUCAGCAACCAAAUCGCAUAACACAUGGACCCAGAACCUCAAAAUUUGGAAAAUAGCGAUUCUGUCUUUGUUUGGGAUGAAAAAUCACAGCUUUACUUCCACGCCAGGUUCUCCUCAACAAUGUUUAAUUUUUCCGAUUUAAUUGUAAUGAUUUUCAUUACAUAUAACAACAAGCUUAUGUUUAAAUUUCUGGUUUAUAAUAACUUUGUGCAGUAGUGGAUUUUAUCAUGACCCUAAUGCUGGCUGGUACUAUGGCACCAAUGAUGGCGUUUAUUACAAAUUUGAAGAUGGAAAUUAUGUACCUUUAAGUUCCAAUAAGGUAGGUUUGUUUGGUUUAGCCUUUUAAUUCAAUUACAUUUCUGAUUUUUUAAAAUUAAGCUUUACGAAUAGUUGUAAUUGAUUUGAUUUCCAGUAUGUGAUUGAAGUUUUAUUGUAUGUGUCUCAGGAUGAUUUUGAAGAAACUGAACCCGAAAGUCCUAAACAGGUACAUGGUAUUGACAACGAGGACUGCCCUUCUUUCCUCGGAAACAAAUUUGAAACUAACCACCAGACAGGAACCUUGACCGAGGAAGCAGCCGGUGGUAAGUAAUGUUAACAUGCAAACUGUAUUUAAUGAAUACUCCUAUGCUUUGAGGAGACUUGAUUUUCUCCUUUGCUUUGAGCAUCGACAUUUUGGUGUUUCAGACAUGCAGCAGUAAUUAAUAUGAGUAACUUAAGCCUUCUAAGUAGAUGUCUUUGUAAUAGAUGCAAUGAACUCCACGAACAGUCCAACUUAUGGAAACCCUCCACCACCAUCAGAAUGGUAUCCCCUUCCAAAUUCUUAUUCUUAUUGUAUUGAUGAUUAUAGGUUCAUAAAGUUUUUGAAAAUUAAUCAUUUUGUAAACUGACAGGUUAGAGGACACGCUCAUUGAUCUUUACUUAUCUGGCUACAACAACACAGCAGUUAGUGCAGCUGAUACAGUGACAGUGCCCAUGGAAACAGAUGAAUAUAACUCCACAUUGGAAGCUAGUGGUUUGUUCAUAACUUACAUAACUUGUUUGCAAAAAAUUUAUAACUGUGAUCAGUCCUAAAUGAAUGUUUCUCAAUGUAAUAGCUUACAGCAAUACUUAUGAAGUGGAAAAUGAGUGGACCACAGGCUUAACGGGUGAAAAUGGCAUGACUGAGAAUAAAAGAAUUGAUGAUGAAGGCGUGGCUUACAGCGAUACUUAUGAAGUGGAAGAAGGUGAGUGGAUCCCAGAUCUAGAGGACGAAAAUCCCAUAGCUGAUGGAAGUGCUAUAGAUGAAGGUAUUGCCACUUUGCUCGCCUGUCGUAAUUAUCAUCUGAAAGAUUGUGUCUAGUACUAAUGGCAUUUGUUAUUUCACUCUACUCUAUAUAUGCUUCGAAACAAUUUACCGUGAAAAGUUAUUAUGAUUUGCACUAUGAGUAUACCACAACAAUCAAUCAAUUGUUUCCUUGAAUGUUCAAUUAACUAGCAAGGGCUUGUUUCCUUGUAUAUCCACUAAUGUAGUUUUCCUUGAGUCCCCUGUUAAAUACUUCUGUUUCUCUGCAUGGCUUGUAGAAUAAUGUUUUCACAACAUGGGUGAGAUUGCAUACCGCUUUUGUUCAUAUGUGUGAUGUUACCAUUAUAGGUAUCUUGUUGGAUGAAGAAAAAUGGCGCGCACAGUAUGGUCAAGUCAUUGAAUCAAGGAAAGAUUUGAUUUUAGAGUUUCCAAUGGUCGACUUGUGGGAUUGGGAAAUGGUCAGAGCAUCCAAAAAGGAUGGAAAGGAUAAGGUGGCAAGGUUGGUUGGAAGACUGGUCAAACAAUCUGCAAAGCGACAUCCAUCUAUCUCAUCUGGUGAAAAGAAAUUUAGAUCUGCUUCUAUAUGCGAAGUAUAUCUCGAUCUGGUACGCGUCAAAACAGGUUUGCAUUUUACUCUUGUAUUUUCUGGUGCUUAUCUUUCUCCAUGUCACAUAACAUGAGAGGCAACCAUAUAAAUUGGAAAUUUGUUAUUGUUUUUAGCCUUGUUAUGCACAAGUUUUAUUUUAAAAUUGUGGACAUGUUAUAAUUUAUAGGCAAUAAGGAUGGUGGUUUACGUAGAAAGUUUCAAAAUGAAGAAGUAUUAGGAUUUUUCAAUAGUACUACUAGAAGUACUCCCUGUCUGAAUACAGCUUAUUGCCAUGCGCUUUUAUCAGGACAGGUAUAUAGAUUGCGAAAUCCUAGUGCAAGAUACGUGGCUUCGUUAUCAACUUAUGAUUCUGCCGAUCCAACAAAAGAUUGGGAUUUUCCUCAGUUAUCAUCUAAUACAAAUAGUGUACAUGUUUCUAUGUCCGGUGAAAGUACUCCUAACUCUUCAAAUAAAAUUCAUACGGAGAAGGAAUUGUCUAUGUUGCCCAGUCAGCUUUCUGCAUCCAAUUCCAAGGUAUUGAAACCUAUCAAUUAUUUGCUGCUAUUUGUUCCUUGUAUAAUAGAUGGAUGUCUAGCUUACAUAAAAGCACAAAUAAAUGAUAGUAGUUGACUAUGGAAGCUGAAGGGAUCAAAUAGGCGAGGGGAAAAAUUGUAACGAAGUAGAAAAGGGGUUCCUAAAUUUAUUUCUGCCAUGACAACCCUUCAUGUAAUUCACUGCAUAAGGAUAUCUUUAAAAUUUGUUAUCUUUCAGCUCAUUUACUGUUUUGCUAUGCCAGCAAACAAAAUGUCAAUACAGAGAUCGAGCGGCAGAAAGAAGAAACUUGCAUGGAGGCUUUGGCGUAGGUCCAGGACAGAAGAACCUGGCUGCUGGUGAUGAUACAGCAUCAUCACCUGAUGUUUGUCCACAAGAAGCUACCGAAGAGGCCUUGAAGAAGUCAUUUGGAGCAGGCAGUUAUGCCGGGAAACUUCUAGAAGGCAUGGGCUGGAAGGAGGUAUGGACUGAGUUCUCAAUUGAACAUAAAACUUUAUUUAUAAAAUUCUUAUUACUUUAUUAUAUGGUUGAAGUUUCCUAUUUAAAAAUUAUACCAUAGCCAUUGACAAGAAGCUUAUACUAAAAGAUCUGAUCCUCAAAUCUCAAAGAAAACACAUACCCUAGAUUUAUAUUAACUAUACCAAUAUAUACAUAUUAACACUUUCUCAAUAAUACCUUUAUAUCAAUUUCUCAAAUGACUCGGAUUGUCUAUAUGAUUGUUUGGAUUUGACUCCUUUAAAGUGAGUGAGUUGCUCACUUUAGAGUAUAAACUAAGUAUUAUCAAUCGUUGAUUAACAAAUCAAAGGUGAAUAUUACAAGUUCAUUGUUUGACAUCAAACUCUGAUUUUCUUACUUUACACUUUAUUUACUUUGAAGGAGUCAAAUUGAUGAUUUUUAUAGACCAUUGUAUAAUUACUGCUUUCCCACCCUUGUGCUUGUGCAGGGAGAAGGGCUUGGCAGCUCUACAAAGGGCAUGGUGGAUCCUAUUCAAGCAGUUGGAAACAUUGGCAGUGCAGGCUUGGGAUGGCCUCGUCGAAAUUGACAAAAUGAACAGUGCUAACUAUGCGGCAGUGCCACACAGAAUCAUACCUCCAUCUAUCGGACCAACGUAGCCUUUAUUUUGUUGAGCUAAUGCCUCUCUUAUACGCACGUUUGAUUGUGCUAUAAUGGUGUUUGGGAUUUUGAGAAAGAAUCAUUUCUUGUUUGUAAAAUUGAUUCUACUCAACACAACAAUUUGCAUGAGUAGCUUCUACUGUGAAUGCAAAUAAAUUCUACAUGAUAUUAGUCAGUGGCGCAUAUUUUUCAAGGGUUUGUCUAAAUAUUAAAGCAAUCAAAAGUAGUAAUUUUUUAUUGAAAAACAAUUAUUUAUUAAAAAAUUAUAUAUUUAAUAUAAAAUAUAAAAGGACAAGUUUCAACAUAAACUUACUUUAUUUUUUUUUGGGUAAAUGAUCAUUUACCCCCCCUGCAAAAUAAGCAAAUUUUCAUUUACCCCCCUAAGCAGAUUUUUUUUCUGUUUACCCCCCUGCAAAACAUAGAUUCACUCAUUUUGCCCCCCGUGUGUACAGCAGGACAUGUGAAUGUGCAAAUUUGUUGACAUGGCUUGUACACGUGGAAAAAAUAAUUAAUAUUUAUUUUUUAUAUUCCACGUCAGAUAAUAUUUUUUUUUUAAAAAAAAUUCCUACAAAAUAAAAAAAACGUAUUUUCUUUUUUUUUUCCCCAAGAAAACCCUACAAAUAAAAAAAUUUUCCUACAAAUUUUUUUAAAAAAAUUCCUGCAAAAAAAAUAAUUUUUUUUCCUACAAAGAAUUUAAAAAAAUUUCCAACAAAAAAAAAAUGAAUUUUCUUAUUUUGCUCCCAAAAUAAAUAUUUACUCCAAAAUAAAGUUUAUUUUCAAAAUAAAAAUUUUAAAGAUUUAUUUUCAAAUCUUUUUGAAUUAAAAAAAACAUGAUCUUUAUUUUUUAAAAACACAUUAUUUUUUUGUUAAUCUCUUUGAAUUAAAAAAAAUAGAAAAAGAAGUUUUAUUCGUGUUUUCCUCUUAUACCAAAAUCAUUUUCCCUAGAACUAGAAAAAUAGAAGGAAGCACAAGACAAUAACGAAGUAGAAGACGAUUCCGGUGAUUGAAAAAGACGACGAAGAAUAUGAUCACGACGGUGGAAGCAAACCGGUGAAGAUUCUUUUUUUUUUAAAUCAAAAAGAUUUGAAAAUAAAAUUUUAAAAUCUUUAUUUUGAAAAUAAACUUUAUUUAGGAGAAAAAUAUGAAAAUUUGUUUUUUUAUUUUAGGAAAAAAAUAAUAAUUUUGUACGAAAUAAAACUAUUCGUAGGAAUUUUUUAAAAUUUUGUAGGGAAUUUUUUUUUAUUUGUAGGAUUUUCUUUUAAUUNNNNNNNNNNNNNNNNNNNNNNNNNNNNNNNNNNNNNNNNNNNNNNNNNNNNNNNNNNNNNNNNNNNNNNNNNNNNNNNNNNNNNNNNNNNNNNNNNNNNNNNNNNNNNNNNNNNNNNNNNNNNNNNNNNNNNNNNNNNNUUGCACAAUCACAUGUCCUGCUGUACACACAGGGGGCAAAAUGAGUGAAUCUAUUUUUUUGCAGGGGGAUAAACAGAAAAAAAAUCUGCAUAGGGGGGUAAACGAAAAUUUGCUUAUUUUGCGAGGGGGUAAAUGAUCAUUUACCCUUUUUUUUUUUACAAAAUAUAUACUUAUUAUUUUAAACUUCUUAAAAUGCAGGAAGGAGAUACUAUUAUUUUGUCUGAUACUGAUACUAAUCCUCUCGAGAUAACUGGGAUUCAUUUAAGAGGUUGACCUCUUUCAACAAAUGUUACUCCAUAUGCACCGCUGCACCAGCCGGAGAUCGAACCCAGAACCAGAUGGUUAAGGGACCCAAAUAUCUACCAUUUGUGUCACACUAUGUUGGUUGUAUAGCAUUUUAAUAUUUUAAAAUAACAUUAAGCAUUUAAAUGAACAAACUACAUUUAGGCUUUUCUUAUUUAUAAAUAACUUAUUUAUAGAAUUAGAUAUAACUAAAUUUUGUAUAUAUUAUUUUCAUAAGCUCCGGAAAAAAAAACCUCAUAAGCUGUUUUAUAAGUUCAGACAAAUAAUCUCACAAAACUUAUGUCUAUAAAUAAGCUCAAAUAAGUUCAUCUAAACAGACUCUUAUACAAAUUGUUGUAAAUUACUUUUUUUUUUGUAAAUUACUUUAUAUUGUAAAAAAACUACAUACAUAUUUCUAGGAUGCUGGUCUAAACUUGUGAUUCUCUACUUCUGGUAUGCUCGCUUAGCGAGGAUGAAGGCUCGCUUUGCGACGCCUUUGUUCUUCGCGUUCAUUUGGCAAGCCUUGAGUGCUCGCCUAGUGAGGGAAUGGCCGUUUAGCGAGGGCUUCUCGCUUUGUCCAUGGCUCGUCAGUGCUCGCUUUGACACUGGGAACUUUCGAUUUUGUCUCGAUGUGAUGUCGCCGUGUCUCGCUUAGCGAGGACAUCAAGACAGAACUUUGUUGUUGGGUUUUAAAUGAUGUUGCAUGCUUGUAACAUGAUUUAAUUAUGAUGAUAUACUUAUUGGUGAAAUAAUAUAUAUGAGUUUUGCUAUAACACACCCACUACUUUUUGUGAAGGUGUGUUUUAAAGUGAUGGAUAAUUGUGUAAUUUAAAAUCUAAUAUAUUUUUAUUAAAAAAUCUCCUGAGCGUCUGACAGUCUCUCCAAUUCUCAUUUACGCAGCUGUUUUCUGCGAUUGUUCUUUCAAUUAUGUGCAGCUUUUGUUCAAUAAAUAGGUGUUAAAUUAUUCAUUAUUUUUCCCAAAAUCGUAGCCACAUUUACGGUUCAAGUAGUAUGUUUAUGCAAUAAGUAAUUUUUGUGCAUUUCUAAUAUAUACAGCUCUUGAUUUUACCUCUAUAAACUGAAGUUCAUAAAGUAUAUAACCACAAAAAUGAUAAAUUGCAAGGAAUUGGACUUUGAUAUACAUCUAGAGGUUGAAUGCCAUGUCUUAUGCCUGAAAAAAAUGACCAAACCUUUGGCAUAAUAUAAAACAUAUUGUUGAGACAAAAUCCUAUUUUGAUGUUUUAAAGAUAACAAACUCAUCAAAAGAACAGGUUAUAGAACAUGAAUCACCACCACAAGAACCUCCUAGAACUUGGAAGGUUGUAAGCAAUCACCCUCAAGAACAAAUAAUAGGUGAUACUGCAGAAGGUGUAAGAACCAGAAGAUCAUUUCAAGUUGAUGAGAACAAUCUAGCUAUGAUCAUGGAUAAUUGCUAUGAAAGAAGAACUUUCACAAUUUGAGAAGAAUGAAGUUUAGAAGCUAGUACCAGAUCCUUUAGACCAUUCUAUCAUUGGAACUAGAUGGGUCUUCAGAAACAAAAUGGUUGAAAAUGGUAAGGUAAUUCGCAACAAAGCAAGACUUGUUGCUCAAGGUUAUAAUCAACAAGAAGGUAUAGAUUAUGAUGAAACAUUUGCACCAGUAGCAAGGUUAGAAGCAAUAAGAANNNNNNNNNNNNNNNNNNNNNNNNCUUGCAUAUGCAUCUCAUAAAUGUUUUAAACUUUUUCAAAUGGACGUAAAAAGUGCUUUUCUAAAUGGAUUUUUAAAUGAAGAGGUUUAUGUCCAUCAACCUCCUGGCUUUAAAGAUGAACAGAAACCUAAUCAUGUUUUUAAACUUACCAAAGCUCUAUAUGGACUUAAACAAGCACCAAGAGCAUGGUAUGAUAGACUAAGCUCUUUUUUAAUUGAAAAUGGUUUUUCUAGAGGAAAAAUUGAUACAACACUUUUUAGAAAAACAAAUGAAAAUGAUCUAUUAAUUGUACAAGUAUAUGUUGAUGAUAUUAUAUUUGGUGCUACUAAUGAAAAAAUGUGCGAGGAUUUUUCAAAUCUUAUGCAAAGUGAAUUUGAGAUGAGCAUGAUGGGAGAACUCAGAUUCUUUCUUGGCUUGCAAAUCAAGCAACAAGAUGAUGGAAUCUUUAUUAGUCAAGAAAAAUACAUCAAAGAUCUUCUCAAAAAGUACAACAUGAAUGAAGCAAAGAUCAUGACUACUCCAAUGCAUCCAUCAACAAAUUUAGACAAAGAUGAAAGUGGUAAAACUGUGUAAGAGAAAGAAUAUAGAGGAAUGAUUGGAUCACUUCUAUAUUUAACUGCAAGUAGACCAGACAUUGUAUUCUCAGUUGGUCUUUGUGCAAGAUUUCAAACAUCUCCAAGAGAAUCUCAUCUUACAGCAGUCAAAAGGAUUUUUAGAUAUUUGGUGGGAACACCAGAUGUUGGUCUAUGGUACAAAAAGGGGUCUCAUUUUGACCUGAAAGCCUAUUGUGAUGCUGACUAUGCUGGUGACAAGCUUGAAAGAAAAAGCACAAGUGGUGCUUGUCAAUUUCUUGGUGAAGCUCUUGUAAGUUGGUGCUGCAGAAAGCAAAACACCAUAACACUCUCAACAACUGAAGCAAAAUAUGUAUCAGCUGCAAAUUGUUGUUCACAAGUGAUAUGGAUCAAAAACCAACUUGAAGACUUUUUUCUCUAAGGUACACAAAUAUUAAAAUUCUUUGUGAUAAUACUAGUGUCAUUAAUUUAUCAAAGAAUCUCAUUCAGCAUUCUAGAUCUAAACAUAUUGAAAUUAAACAUCAUUUCAUACGUGACCAUGUUUGCAAAAAGGAUGUUGAAUUAAUAUUUGUUGAUAUUGAAUCUCAAUUAGCUGAUAUUUUUACAAAACCUCUAGUUGAAUAUCGUUUUAAUUUUAUUAAAGAAAAUUUAAAAAUUAUAAAAAAUCUCAGCUAAGCAUUGUUGAACAAAAUCAUAUGUUUUUGGAGAACGUUAGAAGAACAUUCUUUCUCUUUACGAAAAUGAAGAACUUUUUUUUAUGAAAAUUUUUGUCUGAUUUUAUAUAUGAAAUAUUUAUGAUUAAUUUUAUAUCAUUUAUAAUUUAAACCCUUACUCUCCCUAGGGUAUCUCCUUCUCUCUCUCGUCAUAAUUUCUUCUCUCUCUCUCUUUAGUUUUCCUAAGUACAAUUAACAACUAUUCAUAAUUGUACUAAGCUACACCUAACCUAUCUAUCAAUCUUUUCCUAUUCUCUAUACACUCUCUCAUUAGUGGUUUAUUUAAUCAAUACAAACUCAACACAUUUCAUCAUCACCUCCGAAAAAUCCUUAUCUCUUUCUCCACUAUUCAUCAAACCCUCAUCAUCUAUCCAUUGUUCAUCUUCCAAAACCAAAAAUUUGUUUCUAUGGCUAGAGUAAAGAAAUCUGGUAACAAGAACAAAAAUGAUAGUUCUUCAUCCUCCUCUCAAUCACCAAAACGCUCACCCUCUCCUCAAGUUGCUCCUCUUUCCAAAGACAAGUCAGGUACCAAAUCAUCUUCUUCCACCUCUUUUAAAUCCCUUCCAGAUCACGAGAAUGAGAUUGAAGUUCAAUCCAAUCCUUCAACUCAAAAUACUUCCAUCAAUCCUCCAAAUAUCUCUCGAUCAAACCAACCCACUGUUGAAACCGCACUUGCACAACAAUCACCACCACCAACAACUGUUCAAAUCUCUGAAGUGUUGAUUGGAGCCAUUCCAAUCACUUGUAAAACCGUCACAACAGGCAUUGAACCUAUUCAAUGUUCUCAAACCAUUGCUGAAACCACAAAUGAAGUUCCACAAGUAAUUGUCACGCCUCUACCAAAAACUAAAACCGUCUCUAGUUCAAAAUCUAUCCCAAUUCCUACCAAAACCAAAAAAUCAAAGUCUCUUGAGUUUUCAAAAGUUAGAAAGUCAAGAAGAUUAGCCUCAACAAAGCUUUGAAAUCUUUGCCAAGAAAAAACCAAUUCUUCCAGGCAGAGUAUACAACUUUGACGAUCUUGUCAACACAAAUCAUGACCUAACUCAGUUCACUAAUCCUCUUGGUUGGACAUCAUUGUUCAACAUCAGAGAAACACAUUACCCAAACCUUAUAUCAGCAUUUUACUUCAAUGCUGUUAUUCCCUCAGAUAGAAACUCCAUAGUUUCUGAACUUAAGAAAGCUAAAAUCAAGAUAACCGAAGAAUUGCUUGGAAAACUGUUGGAUAUUCCAACCACGGGUCACAAAUUGUAUGGAGAAAGCUGGUUCUCCAUGGCACGAGUGAGUAAAAACACCCUUAUGUCUGAGAUAUAUGAACCUGGAACCAAUCUCACAAAGAAUCCACCCUCAUCCAAGCUCAAGCAUGUGUUUAAGAUGUUGCACAACAUGUGUUUACACUCCAUCUUCCCAAGGAAAGGAAGCAAGGACAAAGUCACCGAAAAUGACAUGAUGAUUAUGUAUCACAUGUUCAAUAAAAUCCAACUAAAUUUGCCCUAUGUCAUGAUUCAACACAUGAUAUACACCAUUGAAAAUGAAUCUAAGAGAUUCACUCUCCCUUAUGGAAUGUUUCUAACUAGAGUAUUCAACAAGUUCAAAGUCAGCUUUGAAGGAGAAGAAGGAAAGAAUUCGUCUACCACAUUCUCUCUAAAGAAUGUUGGAAGGAUGAAAUUCAUCGGAGAUGUUGAGGAUCACACCAUUCUUGAUCAAGGGCAGAAGAGAAAAAGAGAGGAAUUUGAAAAGGAUAACAAUCUGGACCUCUUGGCUGAAGUUAUGACAACACAGGAAGACCAUCCAGAGACCGUUCUCCCAGUCUCAGCUCCUAGUGAAAAAGCCAAAGAAGUUGUAAGUGAGAAAACCACCUCUGCUCAGUUUAACCCUUUUGUAUCCUUAGAGUUUGAUAACUUAAGAAAUGAUUUUGAAAACCAUGAAAAUCAACACACCACUGUCUUGAAUGAUGGCUUUUCCACCAUUAACAAUCCUGUUAACACAUCCAUUUUCUCACCAUUAAUGACCUCACCACAAACCUCUUUUGAUACAACAGAUUUUCUGAAAAACUUCCUAUCAACUCCUUCUGAUUGUUCAAAAAUACAUCAGCCCAUCUACACUGAUGUUGGUCCAUCCUUACCAUCCUUUCCUCAGAAUUUUGCUUCCAUGAGUUCUUUUUGCACUAGCUAUCCAACCAAUGACUCUGCUGCGUACCAAAGCUCUGCAAACAUUCCUCCUUUUGACACAAGACCCACCAAAAAGUCAAAAGUUGAGCAAGAUGUUUCAAAGACCAUAAGGGAUAUGGUCAAGAUGUUUGAAGCUGUCAAGAUCAACAACACUUUGUUGAACUAUGCUGUCCAUGAGCAUCAACUCUUUAGGACCUGGCUCAUUGAUGAAUUUUGCCCUGCUAUGCGUGUCAAUCCACCUCCAUCCAACCCUCCUCCACAAGUUCCAGAAUUUCCAGAACUUGACAAAGAAUCCAACUUUGAUCCUUCCUCUCCUGCAGACCCUCAGUAGCACUCUUUCAUACCUCCUAGGCCUUUUCGCUGUUGACAAAAGGGGGAGAAUGAAUUCUGUAGUAAUUAAGGGGAGAUUGUGAUGUUUUUUUUUGUGAUGUUUUUUUUUUAAAAAAAAAAACUCUUUUGAUUAUGUGUGUUUUAAAAUUCUGUUUUAUGUAUGUUUUAGAAUUUGUAGAUAUGGUUGGAAGUUGUUUUGGUUUCAACUUCUAAUUGUAUGUUGUUUUAAUUCUAAAAACUUAGAUUAUGUUUUGAAUCAUUAAUCAUGUAUUGAUAAUUGUCAUAUGCUCUUGAAUGAAGUUCUGAUUAAUGAAUAUUAUGUUUGAUUCAAAUUUAUGUCUUUACAUAUUUUUACUCAAUUUGCAUUUGCAUAGUUUAUAAAUUGAUAAAGAAUGCUAAAAAUGAGGGGGAGCUUUAUAUGAUUAAAUCACAAGUAUUAUUACUGAAUUUGGUUUAAUCAGAAUAACAAUAAAAAAUUAAUUAAGGUUUUGUCAUCAUCAAAAAGGGGGAGAUUGUUGAGACAAAAUCCUAUUUUGAUGUUUUAAAGAUAACAACCCUUAAUUAAAUUUUAAUUUGAUUCUGAUCAUUUUGUGAUCUAACAAGUGCUCUUGAGUGAUUUAAUUUAAGAACAGAUGCAAUUGAUUAAAUUAACCUUGUUUCACUCAUAAGAAAAGAAUCAAACAUGUUUUAGACAAAUCUGCCUCAGAGAAUGAUCUCAGAUUGGUCUCCAGAUUCACGUGUUCAAAAGCAUAAGCACUUAUUCAAGUCAACUUGGUACAAGACAAGAAUGAACUUUUAAGUUGGACUUAUUAAAGGAUCAUAACAGUGCAAAUAAGUCAUUUAAGGCAAGGAAUUGAUUUUGGUUAUUGAACUUACUCGAAUAAGCUUCUUUAAGGAAUAAUAAUUUCACAUCUUGCAACAAGGCUCUAUGUUCUCCAAGAACAUCAUUAAAGAAGAUAAUCUAGACCAAUGAGAACUCAACAACAAGUACUAACAGCUUGCAAGGAAGCUUCACAUCUGAUCCAAGUACAAGUUUAUGACAUGGGUGGCUACAUUCUCCCAUAAAAGAGUACUCAUUUCACUAUUCAUGUGUCCUUUGAAGGACAAGUGAACAGUUGCUACUAUAUGCCUUUGAUGAAGUGUUUACAGCUGUAUUACAACUUGCAACAGCUCUAUUUUCAUUGGACCUUAUCCACACCAUUUCAUAGAAUGGUCUCCAACAUCCUAGAGAAUGAUCUCCCAGGUUUUUGCACUUAGGUGACAAUCUUAUCCAAAGACAUUCAAAUCCUAUUUCCACACAUGGGAAAUACAUUUACAACGGAUAUACACUCAAAGACAACAUUGACAGUUGGUUAAAGAAUAUUUCUGACCAACAAGUAAAAUGUGACAGUCAGAGACCAUUAGAAGAAUGAUCUCCUGAAGCAUCUAAAGGACAAAAUCACAUGGACUGUUUUGUUUCUCUCACAACGGCUAUUUCUCCACUCACAAUGUAUAUGUGUGAUGUCCAAGCAACAAGGGAGCAUCUCCAUCUAUAAAUAGCACGUUGAUUUGGUUGGAAGAGCAAGAACUUGAAGUACAAAAAGCAAUCUAAUACAUUCCAUCUCAAGCAAUCAAGCUCUUCUUUUCACUCUUACUCUAUAGCUCUCUAGAAAUCUAGGAUCAUAUUUUGUAGAGUACUUUGAGUGUAUCAAUUUGUAAGUUUUACAACCGGUUAGGUGUAUAAGCUUAGAUCCAAAAGAAAUCAUUGAAAAAUCCUUAGGAUUCUCUCAAGUCAAUUGGGUAUAAUUGAUUGAGGUUACCUUGUAAAGGUAGAUCAGCUGGAUAUAGCUGGAUACUUUGUGAUCUUGGUUUUAGGUCACAAAGGGUCUCUGAUCUGGGCUUAGAUCAAAGGGAAGUUUCUGUAAUCUUGGUCUAGAUUAUAGUGGAUAAUCUCACACAAGUGGGGACUGGAGUAGCUCAUACUAUUAAGGGGUGAACCAGGAUAAAUUCUUUGUGUGAUUCUCUCUUCCCUUACUCUUUUAUUUGUGCAAACACCAACUCACACGAAUCACUUUAUUGCACUUACAUUCAAGGAGAACGUUCUCCAGUUAGUCUAACCAUUUACUAUCAUAGUGUGUUAUUGUGCUUAAAUUGUUUUGCAGUUAAAUUUUAAAAGGUCACAAUUCAAACCCCCUUUCUUGUGACAAACUUUGUUACUUCACAUACUUGUCAUGGUGAUGACGAGGCAUACAGAAGAAUAUGUACUAGGAAGAAACGUGCUUGUGGUGGGAUAAUAAUUAAAAAAAUAUCAGUAAAAAAUAUUAGAUUUUAAAUUACACAAUUACCCAUCACUUUAAUUUAGUUUUGCAAAGAAAAAGUGGGGGUUUUUAGUACAAAGUUGAAAGAUGUACAAUGCUAAAACAAACCUUCACAAAAAGUAAUGGGUGUGUUAUAGCAAAAUCCUAUAUAUAUAUAUAUAGUGGUGUAGAUAUCAUAUGUUUGAUAAGUGGAUAUUUUCAUGCAUUCAUAAGUCUAUGUCCUUUGGUGAAUGAAUUUUGGUGAAAGAAUUGGUUUAAAAAAAUGGAUUAUGUUAUCCAUAUUGGUAAAAGACAUGGUACCGCAUGUAUUUAGUUGUCUAAGGUCACAUGUCAUUAUUAUAUGGCAUUAGAAGUAAAAUAGGGACUAAGUGGUUCUCUAUGUGCAAUAAGUGAUAAUUGGCAUUAUUUGGAGCAGAUGUGUUUUGUGAAUGAUAAAUGCAUAUCUAAUUGUCUUUAUAUGAUUAGAUGAAUAUGUUUGAUACUUGUGAAGAUGAUACUAUUACAAUAAUGUUUUUUUAUGGUUGUACGUCUUUAUUUAUGAUUUAAGUGUCUAGUAUUCGUGAUUACUUACACUCUUGUGAAUUUUAAUAACUAAUUCUCUGUUUUGUGUAUAUGCUGGAUUUUUGGGUCUAGAUUCUCAGGUUAAGGACUCUGUAAUUGCUUACUUUGCUUGAUUGCUUUUGUGAGGUGAUUGACAUACUGUCAUUCCAUUUAUCUAGUUUGGUUUUACUAAGAGUCGUCUUGUCAGUCCAUUUAUCUAGUUUGGUUUUACUUAGAGUCGUCUUGAUUACUGUAACACUAUGAGUGGGCGUAACAUUAAGNNNNNNNNNNNNNNNNNNNNNNNNNNNNNNNNNNNNNNNNNNNUUAUGGAUUUGAGACUUUUAUUUGCUCUUAUGCAUGUCUUGUCGUUGGAGCUUGAUACAUUAUUAUGCUAUGUUGUUGAGAUGGAUAUCUAACAUAGUUGAUCAGUUAUUAUUCAAAUUUUCCGUUGCUAUAUGAAUUAUACGUUUAAUGUGUAGUCAGCAUGCUAUUUAUUUAUAUAAGUUAAUUAAUACGCGUAGCAGUUCAGGGUGUUACAUAGUGACUGGACUACUCCCUCCGUCGUUUUUUUAUAAGACCUAGUUUGACAAAAAAUUUAUCCGACCCUUUUACAAUUGUUAAUGACAUUAAUUAUUACUCCAUCCAUUUCAAAUUACUUGACUUUUUAGAAUUUUUUUUUUUUUUUCAAAUUACUUGUCUUUUUGAUAAUUUAUGUUAUAUUUUGUCUAUUAUAUUCUCCUUAUUUUAAAUCUUUUUAUUGUAUUUUUUUUAUUGAUACAAUAACAUAUUAAAUUUAUUGAAAAAAGAAAGUGUGUGAAAAAAAUAUAUUGGUGAAUUAAAAUAAGGGUAUAAUAGGAAAAUAAGGUGCAAAAAUACAUUUUUUUAAUUUUUUUCUAAAAAAACAAGCAAUUUGAAACGGAGGGAGUAUUUUUUUUUUCAAACUUACCCUUGUUUUUUUUUUUGAUAAUAAAACUUACCCUUGUUUACUUUACAUAGUUUUUUGAAUAACAUUAAAUUCUUUUUUGUUUAAUACAAAACACUACAAUUAAUUGUCGGAGUAAAUAUGAAAAAUCAAUAUAAGUUGUCAAUUAAUUUAAUACUAAAACCAACUUUCUUAAUACCCGUGUUUUUCCAAACUAAGUAUUAUAAAAAGGGACGGAGGGAUUACAAAAAAUAAAUCUAGUUUUGAAUACACAUAGAGUCAUGGUUUAAAGGAAUAAUUCCAUUCAAGGGGCUGAAAUAUUUAUAGCGUCUGCAUCUUGUUUUUUAAUCUUCACAUUUUUUUUUUUAUCUCAGCAUCUCUCCCUUAGAUUGGAACCAACUGGAUACAAUACAAUGACAGUGUUACAAAAUAGCACCAUCUGCAACGAGGAUUAUAUUCCAUUUGAAGCAAGAUCAAAAUUAUUUCACAACUGCAUGUUUGCCUAGAAAAAAUAGAUCUAUCAAAUCGAAUCAAUCAAAGACCAAUAUAACCCUUUUCAAAAAAAAAAUCAUGAUUAAUAUAAUGUACAGCCAGUAGCGGAGCUAGGGGUGGCCAGGCUGGGCCUUGGCCCACCCCAAAAAAUAGGAAAUGACUAUAAUACCCAUAGUGUAUUAAUAAAAUUACAAGUAUAUUAUAUGUAUAUUUGUUUGCGCGUAACUAUAUUAAUUCAAUCAAAUAGGCCAGUUGGUUGCAAGGUGCUUGUAGUUGUUGUGUUUGGGGCUGUGGGUUCAACACCUAUUACUUCAACCUUUUGCAUAUUUUUUUUUGUUUUAUUUUUCUUAAAAGAAAGAAUCUCAACAUUUCAUUUACAUCUUUUGUUAUUUUUUAUAAUUGCAAAUAAAUAUCUUUAGAAAACAUUGUUUUUCAUAUCUAUAUACUUUUAAAUUACUACAUUAUAAUUUAUUUUAAAAAAAAUCAAAUUCAUCUUCUAUAGUUUUUAAAUUAAUAAUUAGUUAUUGUAAUUUUUUAAAUGAUAUAAAUUUAUAUCUAAGAAUACUCAUUUACCUGAUAAUUUAAAAAUCUAACGUAAAGAUAAAUUCAAAAGCUUCUUUUUGUGGGAAUAAAACAACUUUUUUAUCANNNNNNNNNNNNNNNNNNNNNNNNNNNNUAUACAUGUAAUAUAAUAAAACAUUUAAUUUUUUAUUAUCAACUUUUUGCAAGUAUUAUAACUUAAAUUUUUUGCAUGCAAUAUAAUUUUUAGUGGCCCAUCCGAUUAUUUUUUCCUGGCUCCGCCACUGUGUACAGCAACUAGUAGAAACUUAAUAAAAAAUGUUUCCUACAAAAAAAAUUAACCAAAAUUAAUUCGCAGCCUCCUCAGUGGUCAACUUAUCCUCCUCAGUCGUCAAUUUAUCGUCGUCACUCCUAUUAAAUGUUGCAUCAGACCUUCCAUCCUCUGUUAAGUUGUUUUCUUGGAGUUCAUGUUUCAGUCUUUGGAUCUCCUGAUCUUUCUCGUCUAGCUUCUCUUGCAACAUAAGAACCUGAAGGAAAAUCCAUAAGUAAGGUUCUCACAGUCUUGUUGGUUAGUUAUUAAUUUCAAAAUAGUGUUUGGUGUCAGAUUUAUAGAACAUAUUCAUGCAUGGUAAACCACUAUUACAAAUCACACAAUCUCCAAACAUGCACUUUGGGAUUUAUUUCAGUACUGGGAUGAGAUAUUACAUUUUUAUGCUCCCUCCAAUCUCGAAUAUAAUCAACAAAAAAUAAUUUUGAUAACCAAAAUAUAAGCAAAUGCAAUCUAACUUUACCUACAUAAUGAUAUCUUUCUUAAAAUGCUUUUAUAUUAAUUAAACAUUAACAUUAUUCUCCUGAAACAAAUUCUAACGAAAAAUAAUUUAAAGAAUGCAAUUAUCUUUUUUUAUCACAUUUAAGAAAGAAAAAAAAUGGUUUUAUCAAAAAAAAGAAAAAAAAAAAUGGUAGUACUAAAUUGUGUAAAAAAAAUGGUCAUAAUAAAUUUUUUAUAAGGUUUGGUAGUUUUUUCUUAUAGUACGAUUGGAGGGAGCACUCAUUAUUUGAUGUGUUAGGGUUGUGGUGGAGGGUAUUAAAUCCAUUAUUUCUAUGGAUCUAGGAAAUUAAAUUCUACAGUCCUAUUUGACAUAAGAUAACAAUAUUUAAUGUAUUUUUUUUCACGUUAAUGAAAAUGCCAUUACUUAAAACUUUUAAAUUCAAAAUCAUUUAUUUAUCUAUAAGAGGAAAUGAUAUUAUUAGUUCUUAAAAACUUAAUCCAGGUUAUGUUUCACCUACAUAAGCAUUUAUUCAAUUCACAUCGACAUUCAUGCAAUGUAAGCCUCUUUCCAAACGCAACAGUUGAGUUCCUUGCACGUUAUGCCGAGGAGCUUUCAUACAACAAUAUCCCCCCCCACCCCACCCCCACCCACCCACACCUCUUUUCUUAAAUUAAUUCAGAAACCAAAUCCAAUGAAGCACUUUAAAACUGAACAUGCAUUGCAACUUUCAUAUAAUAUAUAUAAAUAGGAAAAGGAGAGAAGUGAAAACCGUUUCAUUUGAUCUCUCCACAUCAUUUGUCAGUCCUUCCAUAUGCUUCUGCAAUCCUGUAGUCAAUAUUAAGGAUUAAUGUUUACAUAAGUAAAUUGCAAGUGUAUGACUGGCCACAUAAAUAUAGACAUUAGACAGAUCAACAGAUAGACAGCUUUCAUGUCUCUCAGUAAAAAAAAAAAAUCACAUUUCGGCCCCAAUAGUCUCCAAUUUUGUAGACAAGAGAACACGAGGCAACUACUCCUUACAAACAUCUAACAUGUUAAGAACAUUGUGAGAUAAAUAAAUUAUAACAGUAUUUCUAUCACAUCAUUAUGAUUCAAAUGAAUAGUUUCAAAAUCACAACAAUAACAUUAUUAUUCUACAUGAUGUUUGAUAUGAAAAUUAACAUAACUACAAAUAGAAAUGCACUUAUCAAUCUGAUAUGAAAGGUGACAGAAGUUACAGAGUUGCUGGGAAGUGUAAAAGAAUUGAAAAAGCAAUAACAUAAUCAAAUGAUUUUUUUUAUAGAGAUCAAAUGAAUUUCAUUCAGCAAAAAAACCUUCGAAUUGACUUCUGAGUUGUGCAUUCUGGGACUUCUGUAAUGCAAGUUUCAUCGUGAAUUCAUGUAUCUGCACACCAAAAGAAAUGGAAAAGGACAACACAAACAUCAAUUUAGCAGUAAUGACUACCAAAAAAUAUAAGCUAAUUUUAUUGGUGUUUGAAGUGUGAACACGUGCAAGUGUAGCAUUUCAUCAUGUUACUAGUACAACAUGUGAAUGGAAAGGGAAAAACGUGACAAUUAAAGGCAAUUAGCAAAUAAGAUGGUAGCACCUUUCCCUCAGAAGCUUGAUUUCCAAUCUCCUCAUUUUCUUCUUGCAGGGUUCUGCACUUAGCCAUCAGCAUCUUUCCCAUCUUGCUUUGGGAAGUAAAAGUUAUAGCAGAAAUGUUAUCUUGCAACUCCUUUAAUUUUUUGUCCUUUUCCUCCACUAAAUUCUAAUAAGAUGAGAACUCUUGUAAGAAUACUAAAACGGGGUGUGCAUGUGUGUCUGUGUCGGUGUGUUUGUAUAUUGGAAAUGUUGAAAUGAGGACGGAGAUGUAUAAAUGAAAUUAAAGAAACAUGGAAUCAACAAUCUCGGGUCACAAGAAAAGGCGAUCAAGACAAUACAUAGAAGAUAUGUUCAAUACAGCAUCAGAAACUAUGUGGUGCUGAAUCUGGAUUCGUUUCUGCAAUUUAAAGGUACUUCCCUAUUCUCUCUUUUUUUUUUAAAAAAAAAGGUACUUCCCUUUUAUAAUAUGCCAUCAGAAAUCCCUAAUUAGACAUUCAAAACCACCCUGCAUCAGAAAAAUUGUCCGCUUUGCAUAACUUUCCAAACACUGUCUGCGUCGCAUACCCAAAGUACAAAGCUUGGCUAUGCUCUUCUAUAGUGUUGGGUCUUUUUUUUACAUCAAAGAGGGCCUAAGCUCAUAUAGUGUUGGGUUUUGUUCCAUCUCAUUACAUGACUUCCAAAGAACAAAAAUUUCUAAUAAAUUCCCCCAUCGGCCAUGGGAUGAAGCACUACUGCUAUGUAACAACACUGAUCAUAAUGUUAAUGAGAUGUUUCUUCGCUUUAUGUCUAGGUGAAAGAAAAAAAUGACUAACUCGAACCAACCUUUUCCUAGUGUAUGUCUGUGAAAAGGAGAACGAGAUAAACCAAACUUGAUUCAAUAAAUGUGAGUAUUAAGUUAAAUUGCAAACCUUCAAACGUGUGAACUCUUCAUGAACAGCCGGAUCUAGUAACAACCUCCUUGCCUGAAAAAUACAUCCCAAAGAACAUCAAGGUAUUUCUGUUCUGAGCAGAACUAUUAAAAUACAAAAAACAAAAAUGGAAUGCAAGAUACAUUCGUUCAGCCAACAAAGAUGCCGUAGUUGUACAAUAGAACAGACAAGCACAGAAGAACCAAUGUCAUUCCUCAUUUACCACAGCUAUUGAUUUUCUCUACGUUUAGUUAAAAGGUACAGCAACCAAGCACUUUUCCACUAAGUGGAGUCGGACACAUGGAUCAAACAAUGUGUAGAUAGACCAUUAAUGGUGUGCUAAGACAAUUUUGAGGCAACGAGGGACCGCAAAACAAGAACCCACUAUGUUGUUACUUGUUAGAUGGGUGUUUUUUUGCCCUUGUAGUGCAUGUAACAUGUGCCACUCCCAGUUGCAUGUAGUAUAUGGCAUGGGAGGUUUGUUUCUGGGUGUUUCUUUUAUGAAGCAACAUGGUACUACAUGCAUAUACUGCUCAUUGUUUAUAUUUUGAUGUUAGAAGACAUUUGAAAAGUUCAUCGUUUCUCUUUCACAAUAAAGGCAGCAGUGAUAUUAAGGUUAGAUAUAAUUAUAUAGGUGCUUUUGAUUUAUUCAACAAGCCAGAAUGAGUACAUUGGCUGACAACUAAAUGAUUUAUUUCAACCUUUCAAAUUUUUCUUUUUAUUGUAAAUUAUUGUAGAAUAAUACAUUUAGCCAAAGAAUUUAUUGAGAAUGUAAUCACUCGUCACUGUUGGAAAAACAAAAAUACAACUAUUUUCCUAAAAACAAAUUGUAAUUUUAAACAACCAAACUAGGUUAUAAAAAAACUGCAAGUAAAUAAGAAAAUAAUGGAUGCAUUUCAUCAUCCAAGGUGUACACGUUACUUCAGCACUUAAUCAAAUACAAACACAUUUCGGCAAAGCAAGAAGCAAAACAAUUUGAAAUGAAGGCAAGUAAUCACAACUCACAAGCAGUUUCUACAUUGGUAAAAAGAAUCUGAAAAAACCAAUUGGGUUUAAAAAUAAACGCAUAAAGAAUAAUCAUCAGCGAGUCAAAAAUAUCUUCAUAGGUGAGUUCUAAGCAUACCUGCAUUGAUGGUGGCUUGAGUUGAACUUUCAGAUCCCGUACAGCAGACUGAAGGUUUCAGACAACCAUAACCAAAUGAAAAAAUAAUAUUAAGAAAAAGAAAAAUAAGAAGCACAACAACAAUAAUAAAAGAUAAAAAAUUAAUGGGAAAAACCCAAGUUCCAUAUUGAAAAUAGAUUAGGUCUAAAAAAGUUUAUAGAGAAUGACAGAGUCUAUCUAUUUGGGCCACUAUUUAGAAGGCAAACAAAGGGAACAUACUCAGGUGGUUGAGCUGGAUGUCAAAAAAAAAAAAAAUACAUGCUAAUUGCCAAACCAAACAAGAAAGCAAGAAUCUUGAGUUAAGAAUAUUACUUUCAACUCCGCUAUCUCUUGUUCCCGUUUAGCAAAUGUUUUAAUGAAUGCCGAAUCUUUUUUCUUCGCUUUUUCAAGCUGACAACCAGUAGAAAAAUUAUAAAGAGUCAAUGAAACCUAGUCCCUGGUAAUGUAUUAUUUUGAUGAAAAAAAUGGAACUUCGAUUCAAAACCUGCUCUCUCAAUGACUCUUCAGAUGAUUUCAGAGCCUGAAGGUAAUUAAUCAACAUUUUUGGCUCUGGCAAGAUUAAACAAUUGUUCAGGUGUACAUUUAAAAUACAGGAAGUAAUGGUAGAAUGAGCUAAAUCCUGAACAAUUAAAACAGGUAUAUAGUAUAUACUACUUGCAAAAGACAAUGUACAAACAAACCUGGAGCAGCCCCAGCAUUUACAACAGGCUCAUUUUGAAUUGAAGAAUGCCAACUCUGAAUCUCAGACUUUGCAGCCUCGAGCUCAUUCUGGAAAUGCAAUUAUCUAAUCAAAUCUUUCAUUGUGAACCACUUAUGAACUUAUGAGUGUCAAAGUGUAGGAUACAUGGAUCAUAAUAUUUAUAACAAAAGUUCAAAUUCUUUUACGUAAAAAAAAAAAAGUAUAAAACUGGAAAGUAAAAAGAAAAAGAUACAGGCCAACUUAAAGGAGAAAACAAUGUGAAUUCUUUAAGAGGAAAACAUACUUGGCAUGUUGCAAGCUGAUCCUUACAGCUCUGGAGGCUGCAAAAAACAUGCUUACAAAUUAAAAUUGGCCCAAAUAUUGUACUCCAAUCUAGGCACAGUAAAAUAUGUUGGUACAUAGUAUCUAUGCUGAGAAAUAGUGGAAUACCUUUCACGAAGUGACAAGAUCAUUCCUGUUGUUACGCCAGAGGCAGUUUCUUCAGCUUUAGAUUUGGCCUACAUCACAAAUGGUGGUAAACAAUCUAAGAGAAACUCAAUUUUGUAUAUUGUGCUGAAAAUGGAUUUGCUAAACAAUUACAAUGUAUAGAUUGCAUUUUAUGUUACUAAACUGCUAAGGGAAUCUAACUAACUGACAGCUGUAAGUUAGUUUAGUCACAACGGAAGUUCAGUUUGUAACAACGGAAAUAUAACCUAAAAUAGGACCUAUGUGAGCUCUCAUAAGCUCGAGUAGAUGUACUCCCUUAAUAACUUCUUAUUUUAAUGUUUUGAUUAAGCUAAGCAUAUUAUUAGUAAGCUUAUCAUAAACGAAGCAACCCACUUCACUCGUGUCUCAUGCCAACUUCCAUUGCUCACCAAUACAUCAACAAAUAAACACCCCAAUCAAACCAGCAUAACUAAUCAUUAAGGUAAUUGAACUUUAAGAACAACAAAAAAACAGAGCAUGUAAAACACAGAAGCUCAACCAUCACCCUCAUCAUUCAAAAACGUUCAAGUUGCGUUAUUGCAAGAACACAGUAACAUACUAACAUCUUUCAAGCUUCUUCAUUUUCCUAUAUCUGGAUACUUUUAACUAAAAAGUAAAAACUAAUAGGACCGUGUUUGGAUUGACCUAUUUGAGUUUAUCUACCAACGUAAGUUUUGUGAAACAGUUUGAGAGAACUUUUAAAAACAGCUUGUGACAUGUUUAUAAGCUGUUUUCAGCUUAUGUUCAUAAGUUCUCCAAGAUAGCUUAUGAACACAGUUUAUAUCUUAUAUGAAAACAAUUUAAUUUAUCUUUUGCUAUAGAAAUAAGCACUUAUCAUGAUAAGCGCGCUUAUGCUAUAAGCAAAUCCUCCUUUAGUGCUAAAAUGUUUUUUUAUUUUUAUUUUUAUUAUUAUUAUUGAUUAAUAUAAAAAAUGACAUUCAGAUCAGUUCAAUUCUUCUACUUCUUGGAUUACUGUAAAGUAUAAUGAAUUUAGCGAAUAAUUCAUAGAUAAAAUAGCAUAAGCAGCAAUACCAUAAGCUAAAAUGCAAGCAGCGCAUAACAGAUUCAAGUAAAUAGUUACCUUCUUCGGUGCAAAAGGAUCGUUUUCAUAAUCUUCAUCAUCGUAAUCCGGAGAUGGUCUCUUAUUACCUGUGUUCACAAACAACAAAUCAAUCAAACAGAAUUAACAAAUCAGUCACCGAACAAAUUUGAGAAAACACAGUUCAAUAAAAAAAAAAUCAAAAACCUGAAUGCCUUCCACCAAUUUCACCACCGAAAUCGAAAUCCUACAUUGACAGAAUAAAAAUUAAGGUGAAAUUAGAAUCGUAGAAGGCAAUGAUGAGAGGUGUUAAAAGCACUUACAUCAUCAGGGGAAGCCAUGAAGCUGAAGAAACCCUAGAUAUAGAAGAGAUCGGAAAGAAGCGAAGAGUUGCAACACGGUUAGGUUAUUUGCGAAGGAGGCGAAAUCCUAAAACCAAGGGCGUGACCGUUAACCUUGCUCAGUCGUUACUUGUUAGUAAUAAACGUUUAACGGAGAAACGCUGCAUAUGCCAUGGCUGAUGCUUCUGAGUUCUAAUUCACGGUGACACCUUAUAAGGAUGAAGACUGUGUUAUGUUCUCGGUUCUCACUAGACAGACACACUUGCGAGGUGAACUCAAACAGCAGAUAGAUCAAAUUAAAUUAAAUAUUUUUUUUUUUGUUCGUACAAAAAAUAUAAGUUUUGCUUCUUAUAAUCGUUUUUUAGGGUUUUGAUAUAACAAGUGCACCUAAGAAACAAAAAAAAAUAUAAAAAAAUACUCCCUCCGUUGCUUUUUAAGAGUUUUUUUUUUUAUAUAUAUAAUACUUCUUUCGUUUCAAAAUAUAAAAAAUAUUUGACCACUGCACGUACACCAAUGUAUAAUUUCGAUGAGUUCAAAUUCCCUCCAUUUGAUGAUAUGUCCAUUUAGUCCAUUGAUUAUAUGGAUUAGUGUCAUGUGUAAAAAAAAAAUCCAAUGGUUGAGAUCAGGUCUCAAAAUAUUAAUAUUUUUUAAUAAAAAACACUUUAGCGCGCUUCUGUGAUCAAUCCUCUUCCUCAUCAAACUCAUCACCGCUGCGAUAACCCAGUUCACUCCAAAUUCUAGUUAUCUAUUCUUCUUCCUUCGUCUUCUCCCAAUUCCAGUUCUAAAUAUCCCCUUUAAUCCAUGGUCUUCUCUCACCAGUUACUGUUUAAAUCAAAUUUGGCUUCCAUUCUUCAGCAAGGUGUUAUAUCGUUGUAUCAACACUAAUUUUUUAUAAAAGAAAUCACACUUUGAAUCAAACAACCAAAGAAAAGAUGGUAUAAAAGAAAUCUAGAGCACAAAUUUGAAACAAAAUAGAAGAUCAAGAUUUGAAAAGGGUAAUCAAUACACCGUGAACAAGUUAUUCUCAAUUAGGAGACGCAGUAGGUUUGGAUCAAAAGCAAACAGUGACGACAAACGUGAACAAGUUAUUCGGCGGUAGCAAAGUAACACAAACGGUGAAUCUGGGUGAUACAAGGAGAUGGAUAGACGAAUGUGCUGCGGUGUUUUCUUUUUAUUUUUUAUUAAUAUUUUGGUACCUGAUCUCAACCAUUGGAUAUUUUUUUUACACAUGACAUUCAUCCAUGUAAUUAAUGGACUAAAUGGAAAUAUCACUAAAUGGAGGGAACUCGCACUCAACUUUGAUUAAAAAUAUCUUUAAUUAUGCAUUAUUAAAAAUUAUAGAAAUUUGAUAUUUUGAAAAUAUUCGUCGAAACAAAUAAAACAAUAACUUAUAUGAUAAUAUUUACAUUUAUAUACUUGUAGAAAAAUACGGUCAAAACAAUACUAUAUGAGUAACUAACGGAAAUGACUAACUUGAAACCUAAAAUAAACGUAAGAGACCUAAUUGAUACUUUUUAAACGUAAGGGACCAAAUUGAAACAUAAAAUAAACGUAAGGGACCAAAUGUGUAGUUAAACCUUAGCCAAAUGUGAACAAGUUGGAUCACAAAUAAAAAAGAUUUAAAAUGUGAUGUUGCCGGUCUAAAAUUAUAGGCUUGAAGUUUUAUUACCAUUCAAUGAAGUGGGAUANNNNNNNNNNNNNNNNNNNNNNNNNNNNNNNNNNNNNNNNNNNNNNNNNNNNNNNNNNNNNNNNNNNNNNNNNNNNNNNNNNNNNNNNNNNNNNNNNNNNNNNNNNNNNNNNNNNNNNNNNNNNNNNNNNNNNNNNNNNNNNNNNNNNNNNNNNNNNNNNNNNNNNNNNNNNNNNNNNNNNNNNNNNNNNNNNNNNNNNNNNNNNNNNNNNNNNNNNNNNNNNNNNNNNNNNNNNNNNNNNNNNNNNNNNNNNNNNNNNNNNNNUUUCUUUCCCUUUCCCUUGGUCACAGGUUCAUCAACAACAUUUUCAACCACAACAGUCUCAUCCACAACAGUCUCAAAGUUAUCUUCAAGCAAACAAUCUUCUUUUGAAUCAUCAAAGUGUAUUCUCAGGGCACUAUCUUCACUGUCUUCCUCAUACUCAACUUCAUUUAUCCAAUCAUCGAUAACAUCAUCAUCAAUUCUCACACCUUUCCCUUUAUCAGUCACUUGUUCUCCCUCAGUAGGGCCAACCUUAUCUCCCUCAGUAGGGCCAGUUGGGCCAGUUUCAUUGACUCCCUCACUUGGCCCAUUAUCAUUUAAGUCAUCAGUUGGACCAUUUUCAUUUACUCCCUCAGCAGGCCCAUUUGCAUUUACUCCCUCAGCAGACCCAUUUUCAUUUACUCCCUCACCAGACCCAUUUCCAUUUACUCCCUCAGCAGACCCANNNNNNNNNNNNNNNNNNNNNNNNNNNNNNNNNNNNNNNNNNNNNNNNNNNNNNNNNNNNNNNNNNNNNNNNNNNNNNNNNNNNNNNNNNNNNNNNNNNNNNNNNNNNNNNNNNNNNNNNNNNNNNNNNNNNNNNNNNNNNNNNNNNNNNNNNNNNNNCUAUACUUGGGUAUUUCAAUUUCUUCUUAAUCUCUCCAACAAACUCAAAAUAUGAAAAAUAAUCUUCAUCAACAAACCAAGUUACAUCUGCUCCAACAUACCCAUUAUGAUCAAACUCUUCAAACCAACCCCCAUGGUGUACCACCACCUCCAAUCUAUCACCCAUGAAUAAUACACACCACACCUAAUAAAAUAACACUCAAAAUAAACAGACGGACCACAACAACAAGAAGACAACAAAAUUCCAAAACAUAAGACAACAAACACAGAACCCUAAAUCAUAAACAAACACUAAAACCAUAAAUAAACUAGCAACAAGAAGAAGACAACAAAAGACAACAAAAUUCCAAUAAGAAUCUUAAACAAUUCGAAAUCUAAAACAGAAAAGAAACAAACACAAAACCCUAAAUUAUUUUACUGCAAACACAUAAACACAUAAUUAAACAUAAAAAAGAUCGAUUUCUAACCUGGUUGUGCAGUGUCUCCUUCGAUUCACCUUCGAUUCUUUUUUUCCGUUCGAUUCGCUGUCGUUCGCAUUCGUCGUCUCGUCGUCUUCGCAAUGCUUCUGAGAUGAGUUCUUUCGUUCCUUCGUUCAAAUCGUUUUCCUUUUGUUUUGUUUGUAUAAUAUUUUUUUUAUUUUAAAUUUUAACUUUAAGUUUUUUUUUUAACUUAAAUGUUUUACCUAGUAAGCAGCCAUGUAAGCAACCAUGUAAGCAGCCAUGUAAGCAGCCACGUAAGCACUCAGUUUGCCACCUGUACAAAUUAACAGUUUCUGGAUGGAAAGGACCAAAAUGUUUAACGGCAAAGUCUUUAAGGGACCAAUUNNNNNNNNNNNNNNNNNNNNNNNNNNNNNNNNNNNNNNNNNNNNNNNNNNNNNNNNNNNCAACAAUACACAUAAAUUUGAAUGAAUAAACCAUUAUAAUCACACACCUCUUCUUUCAAUAAUCAAGAAAUUAUGUUACCUUAGCUACUGGACCAAAUAGUAAAGCACAAUAUGUAGAUUAUGUUACCUUAUUAAUGCAUUCACUAUGUGUGUUGCACAUAGUGUUGCAAUGUAGGAAACUUGAACAAAAGAGUAUGAUGCAAACAUAUUAAUUAUACUCUUUUCCUUCAUAGUAAGGGUAAACUCCGUAUGUUACCUUUUAUAACUCAAAUUUUGUGAAAGACAAAAUCAAAAUNNNNNNNNNAAUUUUAAAAUUAGAGCAAUCAGAGUGAGGACAACCAUAAUGAGGCAAGGCGGAAAACGGAGAGAAAAGGGAGAAGAUGCGAGGAGGACGACGGAGUUGGGAUGCUUGAAGAGGAUGAAAAUUUCAUGAUGAAGACGACGUAAGGCAGACAACGGUGAGAGAAACAGAAGAUGCGAGGAGGAGGAGGAGGAGGAGGAGGAGGAAGAGGAGGACGUUGCUUUAUGCGUGCGGAGGAGGACGACAAGUGACGAGGUGAUAACAUCGUGAAAAUUACGCACUGGGUUGUAAUUGAAAAGUUUGAAUCGAACAUUUUGCACUGUGGCCGAUUAAUCUGUUAUUAUAAGACAUUAAUGCAUUUAAUAUUGCAUCAAGGAGGGAGUUGAGUUGCAGAGAGGAAAGUAUUUUUGUGCGGAAAUUAAUAGAUUAUUUCUUCAAAUUGUUACUAAAAAGCUGAUCUUUACUAAAAAGCUCAUCUAGAUUCUAGAUUUUAUUUUUAACUGUCUUGAGAUUUGAGUUUUUUAUUUUCAAUAAGUGAAUUCUAUUGAUAAAGAUCAAAGAAUCAAAUACCCGUGCCAAGCACGGGUUAAAAAGUGAGUAUAAAAAUUAAUAUUUUAAUAAUUCAAAUUUCAUAAUUAUCUAAUACAAAAAAUGAAAAAUUAUAAAUUACACUAAUAUGUUUAAUAAGUCACACCGAAUUAUUUUGUCUUUAAAAAUGUGUCUAACAAAUAUUGCUACUUGAAAAAUUAAAAUGCGAAUAAUUAAAUAACAACUAAAAAUUCAAAAAAAAAAUUAAGCCCAAAAAAUCAUUUUUUUAAUAGUGAGUCUAAAUUUUACUUUUAUGAAAAUAUGAAGACCAAAUAUACAUUUAACCUUAUUUUAAUUACAAAAACAACAUAACACAAUUCAAAUUUGUUGUGCACAUAAAAUAAAGUAGAGUAGUUACAUUUGAAGAUCAUCUUUUUCUUUAAAAACUUUUGACUUUCUACAUUUUAUUUAAAGUAAAGUAGUUACAUGCGAAGAUCAUCUUUUUUCAAAACUUAUCCUUCAACAUCGAGAGCUUGGUCAUGAUUUUCACAUCUUUUUUCUCCUCUAAUCCCGUUGGUACCUCGGUUAACAUGUUGCUAGCAUAAUGUUCCGCAAGAGCUGAAAUACAUGAAACAUUUUUCUACAACCACUUCACUUUCAAAAGUACACCUUCCACCAAUUUAGAAAUCACACCAUUGUUGAAACCAAAUCACCAAUAAUCUCUUUGACUCAAGGACGACAUAAAAAUAAAAAUAACAUUAAAACCGAACUCAAAAUAAAUAAUCAAUUCAAAAAUAUAAUCUAUCGGGAAACAAUUGCAUCCAUUCAAAAAAAGUACAUGUACACAUUCAUGUCAAAUAGAAGCAAAGUUGAUAAACCACAUUCAUAUCACACAGAUUAUAAAAUACACCGAUGUCUGAAGAGUUUCCAAAAGAAAAAUUAGUGAUAUUAUAUGUCUGGUAGUCAAUAUUAGACCAUUUACAUAUCGGUCUUCACAAUAUAAUUUUAUAUAACUUGGUUUCACUAUUUCAUCAGUAAAAUAUUAUACUAUUUAGCGAAUAGUUUCAUUAACGGAGCAGUUGCUACAUACAUAGAUCAUCUUACAUAAAAAUAGAUAUAUAGGAUAUAGCAACAUGACCAUAUGGUUUGAAAUUUGAACAACAAAAUGUUUUAUAUCAUUUGCCAAACUUUGUUACCUUGAAAUAUAAUCACAUUUGCCAAUAGCAUAAUUGAUGAUUCCCCUGUAGAAAUAUUAGGAAUGAAAAUUGUUAGAAAAGUAUUAUUAAAUAUAAGAGUAAAACAAUAUACAUAUAAAAAAGUACAAUAAAAAAGUAUAACAACAAUAAAAUGGUAAAAAUGGUGGCUGUUGUAGAAAAUUAGCUGAUUGAUAUGCUUUAUAUAGAUACAUGAAAUAUGGUUUUAGAGAUGCAUCAUAAUCAUAAUAUUAAAUAAAAUUUUGUGUAGUACAACUAUGUGAUCUGGCAAAUUUAAUUUUAUUCAUGAAUGAGAAUAAAAUUGAUUAGUAACUGAUGCUAAUUUUAAGGACAUAAAAAAAUCGGUGCAGUACAAUUGUUAGGGAUGACAAUUUGACUCAUACCCAGAGGAUACCCGCAAAAAUUACCCACAACGGGUAGGGUAAAAACCCGUAUUUUGCGUACGGACACGGGUAUGGGUAAUUACCCGCAAAAAUGAACGGGUAUUGUAACAUCCCGACUUUAAUUAAUAGAAGAAUAUUUAUUAGAAACUAAUUGGAAAUAAGUGAAUAAGUAUAAAGGGAUAAUUAAUUGGCAUAAGUGCAUUUUGGUGCUAGAUGGAAGGACAAAAUAGAAAUUUCACACCAAGUACAUGUCAUUGUACUACAUAAGGACAUGUCAUGUGGUCUUAAACCAAGGAGAAAAGAUCACAACUUUCCCUCCUCCUGCUCUCUCUCACGUGAACAAACAACUAAGAAAAAUAAAUCAAAUAGGACCCACACCUUUAAUAUAAGCCACAUGACUCCUUGAAACAACCACUCCUUUUAUCAUAACAUUAUGACUACCUGAGAAAGUAAANNNNNNNNNNNNNNNNNNNNNNNNNNNAGCUCCAUUCUUCCUAUUUCUUUUCUUCUUGGUCGAAAAACCCUUUUCAUUGUACCUACCCUCAAGUUUCAAUUCCUUCACCAUCUAUGAGAGGACUUGGAUGCAUGGUGAUCAUCUCUUCUCUGAUAAGAUGCCAAUAUUUGGAUUGAGUCAAUGUUACUCAGAAAGUUAAGGUAAGAAACUCACUUUCCAUGAACACAUAGUUUUUCCUCUUUUAAAUCCAAUCACUAAAUCUUAACCCCAUACUUGAAAUUUGUCCUUGGAUGCACGUUUACUCUUUAAAACACGAAUCUUGAGAUGUCUGGAAGGUCAUGGGUGUUGGAGAAAUUAAGUGAAACUAGAGAAUGAAGAAUUUUGGUAUCAAACCCGUAUUCAAGGACAGACCUGCACUAAAAAGGUAACUGUUCUCUCCCUGUAGCUCCGAAUGAGAUACCGUUUAUUUCUAUGGAUAGCUAACUCAAAUACGGUCGUUGUGGUACCGGUUUUAUAAGGACGAGCGAUGAGGUCGAUAGACAUUUUUGAAGUUGGAAGCCAGUAGCAGGAAUUGUGCAGAAAAUCUGGAAUUUUGGUGUUUUAUGUGCUACGGGUUUGCAUCUUGAGCGGCUCAAGCGGAUGAUUAUAUGCGAAACAGUUCGGAAUUGCUAUCAAAUCAGGUGGGUUCCUUUAGGUAAACUCUCACUUAAUAGAGUAGCCUUAUUAGUUUUCCCCAAAAUCCAACUAUGCAUGUUAACUUAAGUUUUAGGGAUUAAUNNNNNNNNNNNNNNNNNNNNNNNNNNNNNNUGAUUUUAAGUUAUGCAGGAAAUCGAGCUUGAGCCGGCUUAAACAGAGCUUGAACCGAUGCGACGUUUCCUUAAAAACUCUAAAAUGCCCAUUAUGGGUGUUAUGAGCUGGUGCAUGCGCAUCAUGGAUCAGUGCAUAACUCUCAGGAGAUGUUUUAUAAAAACUGGAAACGAUUGAAUCGGUGCAUUCACUUGUUGAAUUGACUCAACCAAGGUUUGGGCAGGUUUUAAUCGGUACAAGGGAUGCUUGAGCCGAUUCAUAUAACUCACAUUAUUUUCUUAAAAACUGAAUUAUAUGCAUCGGUGCAUAAAACACUUGAAUUGGUGCAACCUGAGAUAAUUAUUUUUGUAACAAAAACCAUUUGGUUUAUGGAUGGAGGUUAUAAUAACUAUUUUAUUUCAAUUAAAAACCCUCUGCCAUGAACAUUAUUUUAUAAAAAUAAUAAGUGACUAAAUUCCACGAUUACGGAUCUUCGUACAUGUAUUAAAAUCAGUAGACAUAGGAAUUGAAUCAGGAUAUUCAGGAUAGUUAGAUAUAUCCCGGGAAGGUUUUCUUUCUUUUGGGUAGGAUAACCAUUCAAGAUUAGGAAUUAUGUUUCAGAAUUUAUCAGGAUGGUUGGUCAUUAGUACCAAUAUCAGGAAGCGUGGUCAUUNNNNUCAUGUUGUAUUCCGACGUACAUUAUUAUCGGUAAUACCAGGCCAGGCACUCCGGGACCGGCUUACCCCGGGGUGAUCCUGUUAUGAUAAAAUUGACAAGAUAAUUAUUAUGUGUGUUACACCUUUAUUUCUUUAUUAUCAUAUUAUGAAAACUUCAGGAUUAUGUCAAGAUUAGACUUUUAGAUAUUCAGGUUCAGGUUAAAGUUAGAAACUAUUAGUUUCAGUUGCCCCGGUGUAGUCACCAGUAGUUGGGUAGUAGGAGCUCACUGAGGCUUAGUAGUCUCAUCCCACGACUUUCAAUUUUUUUAGGUAAACAGGUUAACCGGAGCAAGGACCAGGCAGGAACUGAUGAUCGAAGCUAAGCUUGGAUUAUUGGAUUAGAAGACCUUCGUCUUCUUCUUUGUUUUUGUUAAUCUGUUAUUAAGAUUUCAGUCAUCAUUUCAGCUGCGUUGUAUUGAUUAUCACGUUAUUCUCGUGAUAAUUUGUAAUUCAAUUAAUUAUUCUGUAAAUUUUAAUGUACUCAGAUUCAAUUAUUAAUAUCUCGACUAAAUAUUCUAGACAAUUUAGUUGGGAUGUUACAAUUGGUAUCAGAGCAGGUCGAUCUAGUAUCGGACCUUGCCAUGAGUCAUUAGAAUUCAUUCCUAAGUAGUACGGACCCUUUGGAGUCUUGACUGUUUACGCUGAAAUCAUCGCGUGCUGAGCCCGUACAACUCAGUAUUGUGCAUGAUAGGCAGGGUAUUAUGGUUGAGAACUGAAGUGGACCAAGUACGUCGAGUAGUAAGA